rnacentral:rRNA from 1 species
CACGCUGUAAACGAUGAAAACUAAGUAUUGCCGCGAGGCAGUGCUGUAGCUAACGCAUUAAGUUUUCCGCCUGGGGAGUACGCUCGCAAGAGUGAAACUUAAAGGAAUUGACGGGGGCCCGCACAAGCAGUGGAGCAUGUGGUUUAAUUCGACGCUACGCGAAGAACCUUACCUGGACUUGACAUACCCUGAAUAUCUUAGAGAUAAGAGAAGCCCUUCGGGGCAGGGAUACAGGUGG